UCCCUCGUGGCUCAGCUGGUAAAGAAUCUGCCUGCAAUGCAGGAGACCUGGGUUCGAUCCCUAGGUGGGAA
rnacentral:tRNA from 1 species